AAUGAAGGAAUGGGUGAAUUAUUGAAGUUGAUUUCAAAUUGAAAUUUACCUCAAAUUCCCUCAUUCAAAUAAAAACUAAUAUGGUAGACCACAGUACGUCCGUACCUACCAUGCCAGUGACGGUGUAUAUGCGGCAAAACCUGUAAAAUGCAUCCCAUUCUUCCCAUAAACGACUCAGUGGAGUUGCUUUCUGAUUAUCUUUUGGCUGUAAUAGGAACUCAGCAUCUGAUGUGGUACAAAAGGUUUGUAUAUGUUGGGUUUUGUAUACCCUGAGCUUGUUGCAACUGCUGCUAAAAAUGUCUGUUGCAUUUAUAAUGUUGGAGCUAGAAGGGCCGGUAUAUUUAUAUUCUUUAUCUUGAUUCAGAGUUUUUGUAUGUCUCCUUUGUGACUGAAGAGGUACUAGCAUGCCUAAAUCAAAUGUUCAUAUAGGUUAAGUACACCAUGCAAAUGGAAAUUUGCACAUUUUUAAUAGACUAAAAUGCAACUUGUGUACCUAUGGUAUAGUGAAUGUGCACUUUGUGUACCUGUGGUUUGGAAACUAGCAGAAAGCAUGCUGUGGUAUCCAAAAUUGUGCGAAGUGUGUACUACCGUCUAUUUGCUUCUAACACCGUCAGGGUAGAAUCGUCCUUUCAGCAUAAUGGUGUAUAUGUGGUAUCUGUGUUGCAUGUUUUGAAUUUUUUGAUGCUUUUAAUUUUUUGUUUGCCGACUCGCGUCCCCGGGGGCAAUGCAUGAUACUCCUCUCCAACAAAUCACUUAUAUUGUAGAGGAGUAUACAAGUGAUUUGUUGGAGAGGAGUAUCAUGUAUUUUUGCUCCGAGACACGAGUCGGCGAACAAAAUUAAAAGCAGCAUUGUUUCAAAAAAAAAUUGAUUAAAAGCAGUAAAAAAGUUAAAAACAUGCAACAGAGAGACCGGGAGAAGCAUGCAACAGCCAACAGUUCUGCAAUAAUGCUGAAAAGUCGAUUCUGCCCUUCUAAAACUAACGGUGUUAAAAGUUGAUGGACGGAAGUACACAUUUUGCACUGGUUUGGAUAGUUCAGCAUGCAAUUUGCUACUUUCCUUACCACAGGUACACAAAGUGCACAAAGACAAUACCACAGGUACACAACAUGCAUUUUAGUCUUUUUAAUAUAAGUUCAUCAUCAAUGCAACAAAUUAUAAAGUGUGUUGGAGAACAUGUCAACAGUGGCGGAACCAGGAAUAAAUCUUAGGGGGGGCUCAAAUUUGAAAGCAAGUGAAAUUGUAAAGGACUGAUUGAAAUUUGAAUCUAAAAAGGGAGAGUCAGAGAGAGCAAGUUGCAGGCCCGUGGGAAGUGGACACAGGGAGCCGGCCGCUGGGAGGGAGAGCGUAGCUGAGCAGGUUGUCGCAGGUCCCGGGUGAAUGAAUUUAUCGCAGUGAGAUGCUGAGUUAGGAUAUUGUCAAGUGUGUGCGUAUGACUUAUGAGUGUAUGUGAUUGAAUGUACUCCCUCCAUCCCAAAUUAGAUGAUCCAUUUGAGAAAAAAAUUUAUUCCAAUAUAGUUGAGCCUCUUUCAAGGAAUGGGUGAAUUAUUGAAGUUGAUUUCAAAUUGAAAUUUACCUCAAAUUCCCUCAUUCAAAUAAAAACUAAUAUGGUAGACCACAGUACGUCCGUACCUACCAUGCCAGUGACGGUGUAUAUGCGGCAAAACCUGUAAAAUGCAUCCCAUUCUUCCCAUAAACGACUCAGUGGAGUUGCUUUCUGAUUAUCUUUUGGCUGUAAUAGGAACUCAGCAUCUGAUGUGGUACAAAAGGUUUGUAUAUGUUGGGUUUUGUAUACCCUGAGCUUGUUGCAACUGCUGCUAAAAAUGUCUGUUGCAUUUAUAAUGUUGGAGCUAGAAGGGCCGGU
rnacentral:lncRNA from 1 species